rnacentral:SRP_RNA from 1 species
GCCGAGCUCGGUAAUGUGAGUUUGUAAUCCAAAUGGGGGCAUUAAUGUGGUUGGAAGCGGGCUCAACCCAUUCCGUAGGGUCUCUUUGGGAAGACUUACUAGCCCGCCCAUUCCAAGUAGGAAGUUGGGCCUUUGGCUUUGGGCGAAGGCCGAGAGUUAAUUGCCCUUAAAGUCGGGGACACCGCGUGAGGCUGGUCUCACAGAGCAGCGUUACCCCCCUCUUCUGUCGGUGGAAGGAUAACGGGCCGGUUCCCUUAGGGCCCAAUAAUACCCGAUGGGUAGGCCUCUGUCUAACAACCACUUUU